CCUUCGAUAGCUCAGUUGGUAGAGCGGUGGACUGUAGAAAGUUUAAGUAGUUGGUCAACUUAGAAAUGUGCAUCUGACGAUCACCUGCAUCCAAUAGAAAUCCAUAGGUCACUGGUUCAAAUCCGGUUCGAAGGA
rfam:Anopheles gambiae M scf_1925491379 genomic scaffold, whole genome shotgun sequence.